CAGCGCUGCUGAGUCUCCUACUCUCCUGAGUAAACUUCACAGAUUCACAGAAGUGACAGAAAAAUUAUUAGAUUCAUCUAAAGAUCAAAGACAGUCUUGAAGAGAAAUACAAGAGCGGAUUGAUUUUCUGGGCUCGUGAAGAUCGGAGGAAUACAACAACGAAUUGAUUUUCUGGGUUCGUGAAGAGUGAAUUGAUUUUCUGUUCGAUUAAUAAUAUAUUGGAGUUCUAGUGAAAUCUUUAAAUUUUGGUUUGAGCAGUUUGGAUAAGUGGUUGUCCCCUAAAUCUGGAAGAAUACCAUUGCUCUUUUUUCCAGCCUCGGGAGAAGUAGCACCAAUCUACAAGUACACUACACUAGUACUGGUUUGUUUGUACCUCCUGUUUAUUCAUCUUCUUAUUAAUUUCAUGUACUCUUUAAGAAGAUAGAGAGAUCCACAUAUUUCUGUUUGGUUUUGUGUUUUUUUUGGCAAUUAAUAUCAUGUUCGGAUCUAGGAAAA